rnacentral:rRNA from 1 species
GACGAACGCUGGCGGCGUGCUUAACACAUGCAAGUCGAACGGAAAGGCCCUGCUUUUGUGGGGUGCUCGAGUGGCGAACGGGUGAGUAACACGUGAGUAACCUGCCCUUGACUUUGGGACAACUUCAGGAAACUGGGGCUAAUACCGGAUAGGAGCUCCUGCUGCAUGGUGGGGGUUGGAAAGUUUCGGCGGUUGGGGAUGGACUCGCGGCCUAUCAGCUUGUUGGUGGGGUAGUGGCUUACCAAGGCUUUGACGGGUAGCCGGCCUGAGAGGGUGACCGGCCACAUUGGGACUGAGAUACGGCCCAGACUCCUACGGGAGGCAGCAGUGGGGAAUAUUGCACAAUGGGCGGAAGCCUGAUGCAGCAACGCCGCGUGCGGGAUGACGGCCUUCGGGUUGUAAACCGCUUUCGCCUGUGACGAAGCGUGAGUGACGGUAAUGGGUAAAGAAGCACCGGCUAACUACGUG